rfam:Dipodomys ordii contig_2373, whole genome shotgun sequence.
GGUGGCUCAGUGGUAGAGUGCUUGCCUUGCAUGCAUGAGGCCUUGGGUUCGAUUCCUCAGCACCA